GUCUGAAACUUAAAGGAAUUGACGGAAGGGCACCACCAGGCGUGGAGCCUGCGGCUUAAUUUGACUCAACACGGGGAACCUCACCAUGUCCAGACAGCGUAAGGAUUGACAGGUUGAUUGUCCUUUCUUGAUUCUCUGGGUAGUGGCGCAUGGCCGUUCUUAGUUGGUGGAGUCUUUUGUCUGGUUAAUUCCGUUAACGAACGAGACCUUAACCUGCUAUUUAGUCGCUCGGUCUUUGUCCGUGCGCACUUCAUAGAGGGACUCUGCGGCGUCAAGCUGCGGUGAGGUUCAAGGCAAUAACACAUCUGUGAUGCCCUUAGAAGUCCUGGGCUGCACGCGCGCUACACUGAUCCUUGCCUCGUGUUUACCCUCGGCCGAUAGGCCCUGGUAACCCCUAGUCUGCAAA
rnacentral:rRNA from 1 species